CGGGGGGAGCAAGCGUUGUUCGGAUUUACUGGGCGUAAAGGGCGCGUAGGCGGCCACCGCAAGUCGACUGUGAAAUCUCCGGGCUUAACCCGGAAAGGUCAGCCGAUACUGCGGGGCUAGAGUGCAGAAGGGGCAACUGGAAUUCUCGGUGUAGCGGUGAAAUGCGUAGAUAUAGAGAGGAACACCUGCGGCGAAGGCGGGUUGCUGGGCUGACACUGACGCUGAGGCGCGAAAGCUAGGGGAGCGAACGGGAUUAGAUACCCCGGUAGUCCUAGCCUUAAACGAUGAAUGCUUGGUGUCUGGGGUUUUAUAGUCCCCGGGUGCCGUCGCUAACGCUUUAAGCAUUCCGCCUGGGGAGUACGGUCGCAAGACUG
rnacentral:rRNA from 1 species